CUAGGAGCUGGGUCCAUGGAGCUCCCUGGGAAAAGCUUUGCAGCAUUUCUGCUCCCCCAGGCUGAGCUUCACCUGGAGCCCUGCAGCAAUGCAGCCAUGCUGGGUGCCAGGGGUGGGUGCAGGGGCAUUUUCCAGCCUGCAGGAUCCUCGGGCACUGCAGCAGGGCAAGGAGACAUCCUGCCCGAGUCCCUUGCUCUCACAUGGCUCUGGCUCACCCACCACAGUGUCUCUGUCCCCGGGGGGAAGAUUACAUCUGGGUGUAGCAAUCGUGUUUGUGGCUGGUUCCAGCAGAAGACACCAGGCAGUGCCCCUGUCACAGUGAUCUAUGAGAGCACCAAGAGACCCUCGGGCAUCCCUUCGCGAUUCUCUGGAUCCAAGUCCGGCUCCACGGGCACGUUAACCAUCACUGGGGUCCAAGCCGAGGAUGAGGCCGUCUAUUACUGUGGUGGCUACGAUGGCAGCUCUAAUGGUGACACGGAGCAAUGAGGAAGAGAUACAAAC